GACGAACGUUGGCGGCGCGCCUAAUGCAUGCAAGUCGAGGGAGAACCGCUCGAUCCGUAAGGAUCGGACGGGAAACCGGCGAACGGGUGCGUAACACGUGAGGAACCUGCCCCGAAGACCGGGAUAGCCCGGGGAAACCCGGAUUAAUACCGGAUGUCCUCGAGGGACCGCAUGGUCCGUCGAGGAAAUGGUCCGCCGCUUUGGGAUGGCCUCGCGGCCUAUCAGCUUGUUGGUGAGGUAACGGCUCACCAAGGCCGAGACGGGUAGCUGGUCUGAGAGGACGAUCAGCCACACUGGGACUGAGACACGGCCCAGACUCCUACGGGAGGCAGCAGCAGGGAAUAUUGCACAAUGGGCGAAAGCCUGAUGCAGCGACGCCGCGUGCGGGAUGAAGGCCUUCGGGUUGUAAACCGCUUUCAGGAGGGACGAAAAUGACGGUACCUCCAGAAGAAGCCCCGGCCAACUACGUG
rnacentral:rRNA from 1 species